rnacentral:rRNA from 1 species
GACGAACGCUGGCGGCGUGCUUAACACAUGCAAGUCGAACGGAAAGGCCCUGCUUUUGUGGGGUGCUCGAGUGGCGAACGGGUGAGUAACACGUGAGUAACCUGCCCUUGACUUUGGGAUAACUUCAGGAAACUGGGGCUAAUACCGGAUAGGAGCUCCUGCUGCAUGGUGGGGGUUGGAAAGUUUCGGCGGUUGGGGAUGGACUCGCGGCUUAUCAGCUUGUUGGUGGGGUAGUGGCUUACCAAGGCUUUGACGGGUAGCCGGCCUGUGCGGGUGACCGGCCACAUUGGGACUGAGAUACGGCCCAGACUCCUACGGGAGGCAGCAGUGGGGAAUAUUGCACAAUGGGCGGAAGCCUGAUGCAGCAACGCCGCGUGCGGGAUGACGGCCUUCGGGUUGUAAACCGCUUUCGCCUGUGACGAAGCGUGAGUGACGGUAAUGGGUAAAGAAGCACCGGCUAACUACGUG